rnacentral:lncRNA from 1 species
GUCCCAAAUUUGAUGUACGUGGCUCUAUUGUGAGAGGAGGAAUUUCUUGCAUUGAGUCGGGCAAAUACCUGAAUGUUUCUUUGUUGAAGCAAACAGUGUCUCUGGUCAUUUCUUCACCAUAAGGAACAUCUGAUGGAUGCCCAGGUCCCAAAUUAGAUGCAUGUGGCUCUGAUGUGAGAGGAGAAAUUUCUUGCAACAAGUCAGGCAAAUUCCCAAACAUUUCUUUAUUGAAGCAAACGGUGUCUCUGGUCAUUUCUUCACUAUAAGGAACAUCUGAUGGAUUUUCAGGUCCCAAAUUAGAUGCAUGUGGCUCUGAUGUGAGAGGAGGAAUAUCUUGCAGUGAGUCAGACAAAUCCCUGAAUGGUUCUUUGUUUAAGGAAGCUGUGUCUCUGGUCAUAUUUUCUCUAUCAAGAUCAUCAGAUGGACUAACAUAUCCC